CGCCGCCACGGCCAGCACGGUGACGGGAAUCACGAUCGCGGCCCGUGCCAGCCGUGCGGCUCGCGCGGCGGGGUGGUUCCAGGUCCACCAGGCGGCGU
rnacentral:tRNA from 1 species